rnacentral:tRNA from 1 species
GGGCCUGUAGCUCAUCUGGUAGAGCGCUGCUUUCGCAUAGCAGAGGUAGGGAGUUCGAGUCUCCCCAGGUCCA